rnacentral:rRNA from 1 species
CUCGAGUGGCGAACGGGUGAGUAACACGUGAGUAACCUGCCCUUGACUUUGGGAUAACUUCAGGAAACUGGGGCUAAUACCGGAUAGGAGCUCCUGCUGCAUGGUGGGGGUUGGAAAGUUUCGGCGGUUGGGGAUGGACUCGCGGCUUAUCAGCUUGUUGGUGGGGUAGUGGCUUACCAAGGCUUUGACGGGUAGCCGGCCUGAGAGGGUGACCGGCCACAUUGGGACUGAGAUACGGCCCAG